rnacentral:rRNA from 1 species
GAAAGAUACCGGUUCUCGUUAGAUCACCGAAGUCAAGCAUCAUUGGGCGCGGUCAGUACUUGGGUGGGUGACCACCUGGGAACACCGCGUGCCGUU